AAGGGAGACCAACCAAAUCAACAUAGUGAUAGUAAAUAUGUUGUGAAGGUCAAACCGAGGUCGAGCAAGAGAAUAGGGAGAGUGUGAAAUCAACUUUCAAACUAGAGUAGAGGUUCGAAAAGGGGCUAUUAGCUCAGGUGGUUAGAGCGCACCCCUGAUAAGGGUGAGGUCCCUGGUUCAAGUCCAGGAUAGCCCACCUAAGAAGAAUAAGGGGGUAUAGCUCAGUUGGUAGAGCGCUGCCUUUGCAAGGCAGAAGCCAGCGGUUCGAGUCCGCUUAUCUCCAGAAAGGAGGAAAAAAAGAAGUCAGCAACAAGACCUGAAGAAAUCAAGUCAUGCUGCUGGUGAUCUAAAGAAACCAGUAAAGAACCUUGAAAACUGCAUAGUCAAAGUCAAGUAACAGAAUCAGAAGUAAGGUAAAAGCUGAUUCUGGUGUAGAAAAAGUGGUCAAGUUAUAAAGGGCUGACGGU
rnacentral:tRNA from 1 species